rnacentral:misc_RNA from 1 species
GAUGAAGAACGCAGCGAAAUGCGAUACUUGGUGUGAAUUGCAGAAUCCCGUGAACCAUCGAGUCUUUGAACGCAAGUUGCGCCCGAAGCCAUUAGGCCGAGGGCACGCCUGCCCGGGCGUCACACGUCGUUGCCCCCCCAUCUACUCCUUCGGGAUUGCGGGGGGCGGAUGAUGGCCUCCCGUGCGCCUCGUCGCGCGGUUGGCAUAAAUACCAAGUCCUCGGCGACGCACGCCACGACAAUCGGUGGUUGCGAAACCUCGGUUGCCCGUCGUGUGCGGUCGUCGCGCAUCGAGGGCUCGAAAAAAUUGCCGGGCUCCGGCUCGGCUUUCAACGCGACCCCAGGUCAGGCGGGGUUACCCGCUGAAUUUAAGCAUAUCAAUAAGCGGAGGA